rnacentral:rRNA from 1 species
AACGAACGCUGGCGGCAUGCCUAACACAUGCAAGUCGAACGAGACCUUCGGGUCUAGUGGCGCACGGGUGCGUAACGCGUGGGAACCUGCCCUUAGGUUCGGAAUAACUCCCCGAAAGGGGUGCUAAUACCGGAUAAUGUCUUCGGGCGAAAGAUUUAUCGGCUUUGGAUGGGCCCGCGUUGGAUUAGCUAGUUGGUAGGGUAAAAGCCUACCAAGGCGACGAUCCAUAGCUGGUCUGAGAGGAUGAUCAGCCACACUGGGACUGAGACACGGCCCAGACUCCUACGGGAGGCAGCAGUGGGGAAUCUUAGACAAUGGGCGAAAGCCUGAUCCAGCCAUGCCGCGUGAGUGAUGAAGGCCUUAGGGUUGUAAAGCCCUUUUAGCUGGGAAGAUAAUGACAGUACCGGCAGAAUAAGCCCCGGCUAACUCCGUG